rnacentral:rRNA from 1 species
UACAGAGGGUGCAAGCGUUGUUCGGAAUUACUGGGCGUAAAGGGCGCGUAGGCGGCUUUGCAAGUCAGACGUGAAAUCCCGGGGCUUAACUCCGGAAGUGCGUUUGAAACUGCAUCGCUAGAGUACAGUAGAGGUUGGUGGAAUACCUAGUGUAGAGGUGAAAUUCGUAGAUAUUAGGUGGAACACCGGUGGCGAAGGCGGCCAACUGGGCUGUAACUGACGCUGAGGCGCGAAAGCGUGGGGAUCAAACAGG